UGUUUAACAAAGCAAACAAGGGAACAAACUUGAGGGACCAAAGAUGAACAAGGGGGAAAGUUAUGUCUUAAGUAACAAACACACCCACACAAGCACACACACAUUUCGUGUGUUCUAGAACGAUCAGGGGGAACUCCCCAUGAACCAAACCCUAGUUCUAACACAAUCAUCAAAUUGAGGAGUCAAAUGAAGCUCAAAUUCACAACCAAACAUGAAUUAAGGAUCACCUACUCAAGGGGAUCAUGAGGAAUCAUGUCGAGACGGAAUCAAGCACGGAUGGAUAAUGGGUCAAGAAGUGGCGAGGAAACGAAUAUGAACACGGAUGCAUGAGGUAGGUAGAACGUACGUAUGCGUUUAGAUGAAUAUGGGCUCACGAGAGGAUCCAUACACGAAGGUAUGCACGUAUGUAGGUUUGUGUGAAGGCAGGUAAUAAGUAUGUAUGUAUGU